rnacentral:rRNA from 1 species
CCCUACGGGGCGCGCAGUAGGGAAUCUUCCACAAUGGGCGAAAGCCUGAUGGAGCAACGCCGCGUGGGUGAAGAAGGUCUUCGGAUCGUAAAACCCUGUUGUUAGAGAAGAAAGUGCGUGAGAGUAACUGUCCACGUUUCGACGGUAUCUAACCAGAAAGCCACGGCUAACUACGUGCCAGCAGCCGCGGUAAUACGUAGGUGGCAAGCGUUAUCCGGAUUUAUUGGGCGUAAAGGGAACGCAGGCGGUCUUUUAAGUCUGAUGUGAAAGCCUUCGGCUUAACCGGAGUAGUGCAUUGGAAACUG